UAAAUAUUAAAGAUAUUUGGAGCUAUAUACACUUGUCAAUUGCUAAUUUCUCAUCUCUGCUCUGCAAUAUUACAUCAUUCCUUCCUCCAGAUGUUCGAAGAUAUCCUAAAGAGCAGCCCUGGAGGUGAAAAGGUCAUAAAAAAAUACGCACACACUAAAAGUCUGUCAGAUGGCCGAAGACGUGACAUGGUGAAAAUCUUGGUAGCACAUUUGACAAAUGAACAUGGAACAAGCCUUUCCCGAAGUUUAAAAGAAAAAUGUGCAAAGGGAAUCAUCGCCCUAUUCCCAUACUUGGUUGACCCCAGGAGCAAGUUUGGUUAUGUUGGGACAGCGACAUGUCUUCCAUUCUGGUGCUGCUUCAUCUUUUGCCACCCUCAAGUCAAUGCUGCAAAAGACCGGGAAAGAUCUCAGCUAGACAAGCAUGUGAUCGUCUUGUGAAAUUCAUCAAGACUGUUACCAGUAUCCAAGGGCACUUGGAUAGCAUUGGAGAGUCUCCAGCUGUAUCUACUUGUUGGGCUGAAGAGAAGUAGGGUCCAGUCUUGUUUUAUUGUAAUUGUCCAACAUGCUCUACCCUGUAAGGCCUCUAAUUCACUGGCCUGUGUUGAUGAGCUUUUCAAAGCUCACUUUGUCUUAAGAACUUCAUACUGUCAGGAAUUGACCAUUGUGUAUAGCUUUCUGCAAAACACUGCCUAUGAUAUAGAUGCUGAAACCAUCAAGUGAUCAUAAUCACAAGUGAAUUAAAUGUAAUACUGUUUAAAUAGGAGCUUGAAAAAUAAAAUUGAGAUAUGAGUAUACAGUUUGUUGUUGA